ACUCCUGCGGGAGGCAGCAGUGGGGAAUUUUGGACAAUGGGCGAAAGCCUGAUCCAGCCAUGCCGCGUGCAGGAUGAAGGCCUUCGGGUUGUAAACUGCUUUUGUACGGAACGAAACGGCCUUUUCUAAUACAGAGGGCUAAUGACGGUACCGUAAGAAUAAGCACCGGCUAACUACGUGCCAGCAGCCGCGGUAAUACGUAGGGUGCAAGCGUUAAUCGGAAUUACUGGGCGUAAAGCGUGCGCAGGCGGUUAUGUAAGACAGUUGUGAAAUCCCCGGGCUCAACCUGGGAACUGCAUCUGUGACUGCAUAGCUAGAGUACGGUAGAGGGGGAUGGAAUUCCGCGUGUAGCAGUGAAAUGCGUAGAUAUGCGGAGGAACACCGAUGGCGAAGGCAAUCCCCUGGACCUGUACUGACGCUCAUGCACGAAAGCGUGGGGAGCAAACAGGAUUAGAUACCCUUGUAGUCCC
rnacentral:rRNA from 1 species